CAGGGGCAGCAACAUAACAACUGGUUGUCGGAAUUGUCUGAAAAUUUCAGGGCAGAUAUAUCUAAAUCUUAUAAACAUUUUUGCCACCAUUCAGAUUUGCUCAAUGCUUCAGUUUCAAGAUUGUAAAAAACUGCAUUUUACCCAAUGUACUACUUUUAGCCAUGUCUGCCAUCUUCGUUCGCAGGCAGGGUCAUCAGACACAUUUUUUAAACCAGAUACUCUUAUGAUGAUUGUGGACAUUUUGUCUUAAUAGUUUCAGAGGAGAAGAUUUUUGUAAAAGAUUACAAAAAUUUAAGAAAAAUUGGUAAAAUUUACUAAAAAGGGCAAUAACUCAUGAAGGGGUCAACUGACCUAUUUGGUCAUUUGACUUAUUUGUAGAUCUUACUUUGCUGAACAUUAUUGCUGUUUACAGUUUAUCUUUAUCUAUAAUAAUAUUCAAGAUAAUAACCAAAAGCUGCAAAAUUUCCUUAAAAUUACCAAUUAAGGGUUAGCAACCCAACAACACGUUUUCAGAUUCAUCUGAAAAUUUC
rnacentral:lncRNA from 1 species